GGGGUUGUGGCUCAGUGGUAGAACACACACCUACCAUGUGUGAGGCACUGGGUUCGAUCCUCAGCACCACA
rnacentral:tRNA from 1 species